CCUACGGGUGGCAGCAGUGGGGAAUAUUGCACAAUGGGGGCAACCCUGAUGCAGCAACGCCGCGUGAGUGCAGAAGUAUUUCGGUAUGUAAAGCUCUAUCCGCAGGUAAGAAGAUGACGGUACCUGCGUAAGAAUCCCCGGCUAACUACGUGACGGCAGCCGCGGUAAUACGGAGGGGGCAAGCGUUAUCCGGAUUUACUGGGUGUAAAGGGAGCGGAGACGGUGAGAUAAGUCUGAAGUGAAAGGCCGGGGCUCAACCCCGGGACUGCUUUGGAAACUGCCUGACUGGAGUGAUGGAGAGGCAAGCGGAAGUCCUGGUGUAGCGGUGAAAUGCGUAGAUAUUAGGAAGAACACCAGUGGCGAAGGCGGCUUGCUGGACAGUAACUGACGUUGAGGCUCGAAAGCGUGGGGAGCAAACAGGAUUAGAUACCCCUGUAGUC
rnacentral:rRNA from 1 species